rnacentral:rRNA from 1 species
UACGUAGGGUGCAAGCGUUGUCCGGAAUUAUUGGGCGUAAAGAGCUCGUAGGCGGUUUGUCGCGUCUGCUGUGAAACCCUGGGGCUCAACCCCGGGCCUGCAGCCGAUACGGGCAAGCUAGAAUUCGGUAGGGGAGACUGGAAUUCCUGGUGUAGCGGUGAAAUGCGCAGAUAUCAGGAGGAACACCGGUGGCGAAGGCGGGUCUCUGGGCCGAUAUUGACGCUGAGGAGCGAAAGCGUGGGGAGCGAACAGG